UACGUAGGGGGCGAGCGUUGUCCGGAUUUAUUGGGCGUAAAGAGCUCGUAGGCGGCUCAGUAAGUCAGGUGUGAAAACUCCAGGCUCAACCUGGAGACGCCACCUGAUACUGCUGUGGCUAGAGUCCGGUAGGGGAGCAUGGAAUUCCUGGUGUAGCGGUGAAAUGCGCAGAUAUCAGGAGGAACACCAAUAGCGAAGGCAGCUUGCUGGGACGGUACUGACGCUAAGGCGCGAAAGCGUGGGGAGCGAACAGG
rnacentral:rRNA from 1 species